UGGCGAGCGGCGGACGGGUGAGUAAUGCCUAGGAAUCUGCCUGGUAGUGGGGGAUAACGCUCGGAAACGGACGCUAAUACCGCAUACGUCCUACGGGAGAAAGCAGGGGACCUUCGGGCCUUGCGCUAUCAGAUGAGCCUAGGUCGGAUUAGCUAGUUGGUGAGGUAAUGGCUCACCAAGGCGACGAUCCGUAACUGGUCUGAGAGGAUGAUCAGUCACACUGGAACUGAGACACGGUCC
rnacentral:rRNA from 1 species